UAGCUGGUUAUUCAGGAAGUGGAUAUAAGUCCAACUUUAAGCCUUCCCACAACACCAAAUGUACCCAUAGGCUUAAAAUUCACUCAAAUAAGGUACAGCCUAUUUGAAACAGGACACAACCUGCAACAGAGGGUAAUACAUAAACUAACGUGACCAAGUAGGCCUAAAAGCAGCCACCUUUUAAAAAGCGUUACAGCCUUAUCACAUUAUAUCAUUAAUUCCAACCUUAGCCCAAAACCCCUUACCUAUACUGAAUGACCCCAUACCUCUAUGGAAGCCAUUAUGUUAAAACUAGUAACAAGAAUAUUUAUUCUCCCGUAAAUGUAAGUGUAAGCCGAAAUGGACCACCCAUCGGCACUUACCGCCAAUGAACCCACAGUAAUAACCCCCCCCAGAAAACCCUACUUCCACCAGCGUUAACCUUACACAAGAACUUUUCUGGAAAGAUUAAAAAAGGGGGAAGGAACUCGGCAAACAUUAACCCCGCCUGUUUAC
rnacentral:rRNA from 1 species